rnacentral:lncRNA from 1 species
CCGAGGAAUCUUUGAAAUUUUUCGGGAAAUUUUACUCGCUGGUAUAGAAAAUUUCUCUUUCCUCACCCUGAUUUGUUGGAAUACAAGGGAUCCGGUGUUCUUGUGUUUCUCUUUAGUUUUUAGUUGCGACUGCGUUAAAUCCCCAAACUUAUUUAUUUUUCUCCCCUAAAAAUCAGCUAAUUAAUUCUCAAAAUUUUCAUCAUUUCCCCUCCCGAUUGAUGUAAUCUCAAUGUUUGGUGAGUUGUCUGUGAUUCGCAUAAUCAUAUACAUGGAUUAAUUGGAGAUUCUCAUUAAUGCCGGUCCUUGUUCUCCUUCGCAGUUCCACUGGGAAGUGUAACCUCUAGUGUAUGGACAUGCAAUGCCAGCAUAAGGCCCAAUGGCUGAUGAUAUUUGGCCUCUUCUUCCUCUUGAUCUUAACCAGCAAUUGGGCAUGUCAUGCCGCUGCUUUGUCUUCUGACCAGGUUAGCAUGAAAACUUAUGAUUUGCAUUAUGGGCUGCACCUGAGUCUCCUAACAUUAUUUUUUUUUGUAUUGCUUUUAUUAUAAUUAGGUAAGAUAAUAAGUUUGGCAA